GCAGUCGAGCGCGGGAAGCAAGCUGAUCCUCUUCGGAGGUGACGCUUGUGGAACGAGCGGCGGACGGGUGAGUAACACGUGGGCAACCUGCCUGUAAGACUGGGAUAACCCCGGGAAACCGGGGCUAAUACCGGAUAAUACUUUUCAUCACCUGAUGGAAAGUUGAAAGGUGGCUUUUAGCUACCACUUACAGAUGGGCCCGCGGCGCAUUAGCUAGUUGGUGAGGUAACGGCUCACCAAGGCAACGAUGCGUAGCCGACCUGAGAGGGUGAUCGGCCACACUGGGACUGAGACACGGCCCAGACUCCUACGGGAGGCAGCAGUAGGGAAUCUUCCGCAAUGGACGAAAGUCUGACGGAGCAACGCCGCGUGAGUGAUGAAGGUUUUCGGAUCGUAAAGCUCUGUUGUUAGGGAAGAACAAGUGCCGUUCGAAUAGGGCGGCACCUUGACGGUACCUAACCAGAAAGCCCCGGCUAACUACGUGCCAGCAGCCGCGGUAAUACGUAGGGGGCAAGCGUUGUCCGGAAUUAUUGGGCGUAAAGCGCGCGCAGGCGGUCCUUUAAGUCUGAUGUGAAAGCCCACGGCUCAACCGUGGAGGGUCAUUGGAAACUGGAGGACUUGAGUACAGAAGAGGAGAGUGGAAUUCCACGUGUAGCGGUGAAAUGCGUAGAGAUGUGGAGGAACACCAGUGGCGAAGGCGACUCUCUGGUCUGUAACUGACGCUGANGCGCGAAAGCGUGGGGAGCGAACAGGAUUAGAUACCCUGGNAGUCCACGCCGUAAACGAUGAGUGCUAGGUGUUNGGGGGUUUCCGCC
rnacentral:rRNA from 1 species